ensembl:lncRNA
GGAAGGGAAGAAGGAAAAAGGGAAGGAUGAACCACUUGCCCUGAAAAACAUAAAAAUAAAAUGGCAUAAUAUAUGCAUAUAACUUAGACAUAUCCUCCCAUACACUUCAAGUCACUUCUAGAUUACUUAUCCUAACGAAAUGUGUUAUAAAAAUAGUUGUUAUACUUUAUUGCUUAGUGAAUAAUGACCCCCCAAAAUCUGUAUGUGUUCAAUACCAAGGCAUUUUUUCCAAAUACUUUCAAUCUGUAUUGGGUUGAGUCUGGAGGCGCCAGCUGAACACUCAGAAGUCCCUAGCUGGGGGCCCAGGAAGCGAGAGGACACCUGAGCUGGGUGAAAGGGGACACAAAUGGGAGUCUUCAGCUGCUCCUGGGCAUCGAGCGCACCUGCUUUUGCAGAGCAGGGCUGAUGAAGGUGGAGCGGAGACCCUGUGCUCCUUACACUGUCAGAGUUUGUUCUGAUGUAAGCACCCAGCCACUGCAACCCACCCGGGGGUGGGGUGAGUCACCUGUGGGGAUUCGUGAGCUGCAGGAGUCGCGAGUCCUGCUAAGCUGGGAACGGGUCCGCAGGCUGUGGGGCAGGUGGGUGACACAGUGUUCGUGAGCUGCAUCACAUGCUGGCCUGAGGUCCCUGACCGAGCCUUGGAACAUCUGUGGUCAGGGUGUCCACCCUAUGGGACCCAAACAAUUCUCUGCUCCAGGGAUAGGGCUGGAUUCUGGGACUCCACCUCGGGUGCUAGGAGGACACCCAGGCCGGGGUGUCGGUGGCAUGGCUAACGAUGCUUUGCUUCUCCUCCAGGAGAGGGCAGCCCACUGCUCAUCGGAGUGCGCAGCAAAUACAAACUCUCCACGGAGCAGAUCCCCGUCUUAUACAGGACAUGCAAUGUUGAGAAUGUGAAGAAUAUCUGUAAAAAGAGGAUGAAGAGGCUGGACAGCUCCACCUGCCUUCACGCUGUGGGCGACAAAGCCGUGGAAUUCUUCUUUGCUUCUGAUGCAAGGUAACAAAACCUUUUCGUCUUCCUUUCCUGGGAUUAUGUAAACAGUAAGUGAUUGCCUACCACCGUCUCCCCCGCCCCAUGCCAGCGGCGGGCCCUGUACAGGGCAGGCAAGUGCUCUGCCGCGGAGCGGAGCACCAUCCCUGGCCCAACCAUCUGCUCACCCCAUCUGAGCUGUUUUCUCGCACCCGGCACGGCCCAGGCCCCAGUGCCCCUGCUCCCGACCCUCCUGUGGCUGGGCUCUGUGUUUCUGCUGUGGGCCGCCCCGGGGCCACACCCCAGACCCACUGAGCCGCUGUUUGGGACCUCGUGGGAAAAUGGAGUGAGUUGUCAACAUCUCAGAAUUGGGAGAGUUCACAUAAAAACCUGGAUUUGCAGCUUCUUCGAAAACCUAACCGAUCGGAGCGCCUGGGGCUGUGCUCCCUGCCCUCGCUGUCUGGAGGGCUCCACUUUAGUCUCUAGAUGGGGCACAGGCCUCAGUCCUUCCUUCACUGCACCCCGCCUUUGCCUGGUGUCAGACCUGUCCUCAAUCAGAGGCCAGAGAGUCAGGGCUUGUACAGUCGGGGGUAAAGCUCAAGCUCUCAUCGACUCUCAAAAGAAUAAUUUUUUGCCACCUGCCCCGCAAGCACAAGGGCCUGGGUUUGAUCCUUGCUACCAAAAAAAAAAAAGAAUAAUUUUUGAAACAAAACUCUUUCCUUACGUCACACACACACGCGCACACACACACACACACACACACACACACGUGAGGAAGGUGGGGAUGGGAAGGUCAGAGCGGGGAAAGGAGAGAUACAGAGAGAGAGAGAGAACGAACUAAAAUACUUUCUUGCUAUAAAUAGAAAGCUGCUGUAC